UACGGAGGGUGCAAGCGUUGUCCGGAUUUAUUGGGUUUAAAGGGUGCGUAGGCGGUUCUAUAAGUCAGUGGUGAAAUACGGCAGCUUAACUGUCGAGGUGCCAUUGAUACUGUAGGACUAGAGUACUGUUGAGGUAGGCGGAAUGGACGGUGUAGCGGUGAAAUGCUUAGAUAUCGUCCAGAACACCGAUAGCGAAGGCAGCUUACUAAAGAGUAACUGACGCUGAGGCACGAAAGUGUGGGGAUCAAACAGG
rnacentral:rRNA from 1 species